GACGAACGCUGGCGGUGUGCUUCACACAUGCAAGUCGAACGGGGUAGCAAUACCCAGUGGCGGACGGGUGAGUAACGCGUAGAAAUCUGCCUUGAGAUGGGGGAUAACAGUCCGAAGGACUGCUAAUACCGCAUAUGUAUGUAUCUCGACAGAGGUGUAUAUGAAAGGAGUAAUCCGUCUUAAGAUGAGUCUGCGUCCGAUUAGCUAGUUGGUAGGGUAAAGGCCUACCAAGGCGACGAUCGGUAGCUGGUCUGAGAGGAUGAUCAGACCACAAUGGGACUGAGACACGGCCCAUACUCCUACGGGAGGCAGCAGUGGGGAAUUUUGUGCAAUGGGGGAAACCCUGACACAGCGACACCGCGUGAGCGAAGAAG
rnacentral:rRNA from 1 species